ACAGUCACUGACAUUAGAUACCCCGGUAGUCCAGGGUGUAAACGCUGCAGACUUGGUGUUGGGAACCCUUCGGGGGUGCUCAGUGCCGGAGAGAAGUUGUUAAGUCUGCUACUUGGGGAGUACGUCCGCAAGGAUGAAACUUAAAGGAAUUGGCGGGGGAGCACCGCAACGGGAGGAGCGUGCGGUUUAAUUGGAUUCAACGCCGAAAAACUCACCAGCAGCGACUGUUACAUGAAAGUCAGGUUGAUGACCUUACUAGAUUUUCAG
rnacentral:rRNA from 1 species